rnacentral:rRNA from 1 species
GUGUCAGCAGCCGCGGUAAUACGAAGGGGGCUAGCGUUGUUCGGAAUUACUGGGCGUAAAGCGCACGUAGGCGGGUUUCUAAGUCAGGUGUGAAAUCCCGGGGCUCAACCUCGGAACUGCAUUUGAAACUGGAAGCCUAGAGUUCAGGAGAGGUUAGCGGAAUACCGAGUGUAGAGGUGAAAUUCGUAGAUAUUCGGUGGAACACCAGCGGCGAAGGCGGCUAACUGGACUGAUACUGACGCUGAGGUGCGAAAGUGUGGGGAGCAAACAGGAUUAGAUACCCUGGUAGUCCACACCGUAAACGAUGAGAGCUAGUUGUUGGCAGGCAUGCCUGUCGGUGACGCAGCUAACGCAUUAAGCUCUCCGCCUGGGGAGUACGGCCGCAAGGUUAAAACUUAAAGGAAUUGGCGGGG